UACAGAGGGGGCAAGCGUUGUUCGGAAUUACUGGGCGUAAAGGGCGCGUAGGCGGCCUGUUAAGUCGGACGUGAAAUCCCUCGGCUCAACCGGGGAACUGCGUCCGAUACUGGCGGGCUUGAAUUCGGGAGAGGGAUGUGGAAUUCCUGGUGUAGCGGUGAAAUGCGUAGAUAUCUGGAGGAAUACCGGUGGCGAAGGCGGCAUCCUGGACCGAGAUUGACACUGAUGAGCGAAAGCUAGGGGAGCAAACGGG
rnacentral:rRNA from 1 species